UUUCCAGACUCCUACGGGAGGCAGCAGUGGGGGAUAUUGCACAAUGGGGGGAACCCUGAUGCAGCGACGCCGCGUGGGUGAAGGAGUGCUUCGGCAUGUAAAGCUCUAUCAGCAGGGAAGAAGAUGACGGUACCUGACUAAGAAGCCCCGGCUAACUACGUGCCAGCAGCCGCGGUAAUACGUAGGGGGCAAGCGUUAUCCGGAUUUACUGGGUGUAAAGGGAGCGUAGACGGCGGCGCAAGCCAGAUGUGAAAGCCCGGGGCUCAACUCCGGGACUGCAUUUGGAACUGUGUGGCUGGAGUGUCGGAGAGGCAGGCGGAAUUCCUAGUGUAGCGGUGAAAUGCGUAGAUAUUAGGAGGAACACUAGUGGCGAAGGCGGCCUGCUGGACGAUGACUGACGUUGAGGCUCGAAAGCGUGGGGAGCAAACAGGAUUAGAUACCCCGGUAAA
rnacentral:rRNA from 1 species